GACGAACGCUGGCGGCGUGCUUAACACAUGCAAGUCGAACGGUAAGGCCCUUCGGGGUACACGAGUGGCGAACGGGUGAGUAACACGUGGGUGAUCUGCCCUGCACUUCGGGAUAAGCCUGGGAAACUGGGUCUAAUACCGGAUAGGACCACUGCCUGCAUGGGUGGUGGUGGAAAGCUUUUGCGGUGUGGGAUGGGCCCGCGGCCUAUCAGCUUGUCGGUGGGGUAAAAGCCCACCAAGGCGACGAUCAGUAGCUGGUCUGAGAGGGCGAUCAGCCACACUGGGACUGAGACACGGCCCAGACUCAUACGGGAGGCAGCAGUGGGGAAUUUUGGACAAUGGGGGCAACCCUGAUCAGCAAUGCCGCGUGAGUGAAGAAGGCCUUCGGGUUGUAAACCUCUUUCAGCACCGACGAAGCGCAAGUGACGGUAGGUGCAGAAGAAGGACCGGCCAACUACGUGCCAGCCGCCGCAGUAA
rnacentral:rRNA from 1 species